UACAUGGGGUGCAAACGUUGCUCGGAAUCAUUGGGCGUAAAGCGCACGUAGGCGGUCUGUUAUGUCGGAUGUGAAAGCCCUGGGCUCAACCCAGGAAGUGCACUCGAAACUGCCGAGCUGGAGUCCCGGAGAGGAAGGCGGAAUUCUCGGUGUAGAGGUGAAAUUCGUAGAUAUCGAGAGGAACACCGGUGGCGAAGGCGGCCUUCUGGACGGCGACUGACGCUGAGACGCGAAAGCGUGGGGAGCAAACAGG
rnacentral:rRNA from 1 species